rnacentral:rRNA from 1 species
UACGAAGGGGGCUAGCGUUGCUCGGAAUCACUGGGCGUAAAGCGCACGUAGGCGGAUUGUUAAGUCAGGGGUGAAAUCCUGGAGCUCAACUCCAGAACUGCCUUUGGUACUGGCGAUCUUGAGUCCGGGAGAGGUGAGUGGAACUGCGAGUGUAGAGGUGAAAUUCGUAGAUAUUCGCAAGAACACCAGUGGCGAAGGCGGCUCACUGGUCCGGUACUGAC